CAGCAGGCUAUGACGGGGAAAAGUAUUCGGACCGUCUCCUUACAGAGAGCUGCCGGCAGGUGGAAGGCAGCAGGAGAAUCCGGUGAAAAUCACCCCUGAGCUUUCGGACUGAACGGUUUUCCUGUAAGUCCGGACGGCUGGCGGCCGUUACACCGUCACACAUUGUUGGAUGUGGCUAAGUGGCUGCCUUUGGCAGCAAUCAGAGUGGUACCGCAGAGGAAUCGAGCGCCUUUGUC
rnacentral:ncRNA from 1 species